AUUUUUUACUUUGUUGAGGUGAUAAAACCAUUUCAUCAGUUACAAACCAUUGUGCAAUCAAAUUUACUGAUUAAUGUGAGGUAAACCCCAAAAUUAUGAUCCAUAUUUAUGUGGAUGUUGAUAAGUUUUUAUCGAAGAUGGACUUCAUCGAAAUGAUAUGCGCACAUUUGAAAUGGCCGUGGUCAUUAUCAUUUUUGUAAUACUUUAGGAUGUAUACAAGUUACACUAGUACACUUAUUCGACUUAUAUAUAAUGGUUACAAGUACUACGUGUAAACAAUUACUAUUCGUUUAGCAGACGUUUAAAAGGUAAUUAUAUGACAAAAUUAAUAGUAUUAUGACGUUUACACUACGAAAACGUUUACACGACGAAAAGUUGUAUAUGUAAGUUUUAUAGAUGUCUUCAUAGACGCUAUUAUAUGACGAUUGUAAAGAAAUGUCGAAAUAACGUCUAUACGACAAUGUUAUACGACAAAAAAUCUAUAUGUCUAUUUGGACACAUAAUGCACCAUUACAUGACGUAUAGUUAAAAAAAAUACUGUAAUAUAACUUUAAUAAGACUCAAAGUCAUAUAAUUGUUUGAUUAUAUGACAAAAAUGUUUGUUGGG
rnacentral:misc_RNA from 1 species